rnacentral:lncRNA from 1 species
GAAGUCUCGGGGCUGGAGAGGAGAGGUCCGCAGUAAGUGGCCGGCCAGUGGCGGGCUACUGAAGAAGAACGUAGGGCAGGGAUCCCCUCCUGGCGCAGCGGAGGUAGUGGGAGGCAUAGUUUUUGGCAAUAGCCAGCCAAGGAUACAGGGAACAGGUGCGGCGCCUGCACGCUGACUUCACGUGGUGGAUGUCUGGCUGAGAGAGAAGUAGGAAAUCCUCACAACGCUUCUUCCAGCUUUGAUCUGCCUGGGGCAGCCCGUGGUGGAAGAUGACUCUGUAGCCCUGGUGUCUACCAGUAUCCGGAGUGGGAGCCCCAAGAGCCAUGUAGACAGGCACCCAGCACUGUGCCAGCUAUGUGGGAGUUGGCUGGCUCUGGGGACGAGCUGUUGGCAGUGCAGGUGGCUGGCGACAAGGAUGGAGUGUGAGGCCUCGAGACAGGAUGGCAGGCAGCACAGAAGCCUCCGCACUCAGCAGAGCUGCGGUCCUGGCUGCUCUGAGGCUCCAUGGAGGUGGGGGAUGCGAGGAAUUCUUUCUGAAAGAGAGAUCUGACCAGAGAGAUGCGACAACUACAUGUAAGGUGGACAGAGUCCUUAGGCAGCGUUGGAAUUACUAUCCGAAGCAUGUGGUGAGACCUGAAUGGUACCUCCCCGAUAGACACCAGCAGUUCACUAGUAGUAAAUGGCUGGCUGAGUAACUGGGGCGCAGGAAGGAGAGGACCUGCCCCUUCUGUCUUCUCUUCUGCUAGCCUCAGACACCCUGAGUCAGGCGAGGGCCCACUGCUCCCUUGAUGGAGACUACAGGAGGACUCGGAAUCCUCUGGGAGUGGAGUUACAGCUGGUUGAGAGCCACGUGAGUGCUGGGAAUCAACCUUGGAACCUCUGGAAAAAGCGGCGAGUCAACCACAACCCAUCGCUCAAGCCCCAUUGCUGGGCCUGGUGACAACGCAUGUCAGUCCUGCCUCAGCCCCCUGAAUGCAUGUUUACAGAUGUGCACCAGAGCACCUGACUCAAGUUUUAAACGAUCAUUUUGAGCA